rnacentral:rRNA from 1 species
GUCACAGCCAUAUCACCCUACAGCCCAAGACCAAUUACUUACUGAAGAUUAGCAGGGCUGAGCCUGGUCAGUACCGGCAUGUGAGACCACAUGGGGAAAACUAGGUUGCUGUUGAAA